rnacentral:rRNA from 1 species
AUUGAACGCUGGCGGCAUGCCUUACACAUGCAAGUCGAACGGCAGCACGGGUGCUUGCACCUGGUGGCGAGUGGCGAACGGGUGAGUAAUACAUCGGAACGUACCUUAUCGUGGGGGAUAACGCAGCGAAAGCUGUGCUAAUACCGCAUACGCCCUGAGGGGGAAAGCGGGGGAUCGAAAGACCUCGCGCGAUUAGAGCGGCCGAUGCCUGAUUAGCUUGUUGGUGGGGUAAAAGCCCACCAAGGCGACGAUCAGUAGCUGGUCUGAGAGGACGCUCAGCCACACUGGGACUGAGACACGGCCCAGACUCCUACGGGAGGCAGCAGUGGGGAAUUUUGGACAAUGGGGGCAACCCUGAUCCAGCAAUGCCGCGUGAAUGAAGAAGGCCUUCGGGUUGUAAAGCUCUUUUGUCAGGGAAGAAACACCGGCUCUAACACAGUCCGGGAAUGACGGUACCUGAAGAAUAAGCACCGGCUAACUACGUGCCAGCCGCCGCGGUAA